rnacentral:lncRNA from 1 species
GCAACUGGAAAGAGAAGCAAUGAGCCGUCGCCGAGACUGCGAAAAUAAAUUCAGAGCUCAUGUUCUGCUGACAUUGGAUUAGCAACUGCAAGGUCUCCUGGGGACACAGCAUGACGGAAGCUCAUCCAUCACCACCCCCAUGCCCUUGACUCUGCUCUCUGUCCACAAAGUGGACCCAUUACUGGAGACUUCUUAGGCCUUCAGGGCUUCACUGUAUCUCCUCCAUGAAGAGGAGCGUGGACAUUUGAUGUUUUAACCUGAGAAGUUCUUGCUGCCUCGUCUCACAGCUGUUGGCUCCAACUAAUGGGCCCGCCUAGCCGGAGAAGUUAUUGAGUAUCUGUGUAAUUAAGAACCUACUGGAUGUCAUGUGGAAUAAAGAGAAGGAAGUUUGUGACAAAGAAGAAUUUCAAAUGGGUCAAAAAUAAAGCCAGCUUGCUAAGGAUUGUAUUGACUAAAAGAACUAAAGGAACCGAUUUAUGUCUCAAAGAAAGCAGCAAUCUGUUGGCUGUCCCAGGAGAAAUGGCUGUGUGCGUGCUCCUGUGGGAACCGGGACUUCCUGAUACAUCUCCUGCUGUUGGGUGCACACCACCCUUGUAUCACCAAGUCCAGGGCCAAAGGGGCAUCUGGUCCCAUUUUAUUUUCAAGCCUUAAAGGACCCAGGGAGUGAGGCAGCUCUUCCAAACUACUUUUCCAAAGGGAGUUCUCGUUUGUUCUGCAUUGGCAACGUCACACUUAAAGGAAAGAAAAUCUCCAAAACACUCCGUCUGUCACUUCUGAAAGCCAGAUUCUCUAAACCGCUAAUUCACAAAGUUACCCAGAAAGCAGAGUUCAUUACUGGGUUAC